GGGUCAGUAGGUUGGUCGUGCCACCGGUACGUACUGGACUCACUGAUUCCUCCUUCCUGAAGAACCGUAAUGCCAUUAAUUUGGUGUUGCGGGGAAACAGGACUGUUACUUUGAAAAAAUUAGAGUGUUUAAAGCAAGCUAACGCUUGAAUACAGUAGCAUGGAAUAAUGAAAUAGGACGAUCGAUCCUAUUUUGUUGGUUUCUAGGAUUGACGUA
rnacentral:rRNA from 1 species